rnacentral:rRNA from 1 species
UGUUACGACAAAUUAUAACCGGUUACUCACUGAAGCUAAGCAGGGCUGAGCCUGGUCAGUACCUGGAUGGGAGACCACAUGGGAAAACUAGGUUGCUGUUGAAA